GAUGAACGCUGGCGGCGUGCCUAAUACAUGCAAGUCGAGCGAACAGACGAGGAGCUUGCUCCUCUGACGUUAGCGGCGGACGGGUGAGUAACACGUGGAUAACCUACCUAUAAGACUGGGAUAACUUCGGGAAACCGGAGCUAAUACCGGAUAAUAUAUUGAACCGCAUGGUUCAAUAGUGAAAGACGGUUUUGCUGUCACUUAUAGAUGGAUCCGCGCCGCAUUAGCUAGUUGGUAAGGUAACGGCUUACCAAGGCAACGAUGCGUAGCCGACCUGAGAGGGUGAUCGGCCACACUGGAACGGAGACACGGUCCAGACUCCUACGGGAGGCAGCAGUAGGGAAUCUUCCGCAAGGGGCGAAAGCUUGACGGAGCAACGCCGCGUGAGUGAUGAAGGUCUUCGGAUCGUAAAACUCUGUUAUUAGGGAAGAACAAAUGUGUAAGUAACUAUGCACGUCUUGACGGUACCUAAUCAGAAAGCCACGGCUAACUACGU
rnacentral:rRNA from 1 species